rnacentral:rRNA from 1 species
CGGCGGACGGGUGAGUAACACGUGGAUAACCUACCUAUAAGACUGGGAUAACUUCGGGAAACCGGAGCUAAUACCGGAUAAUAUAUUGAACCGCAUGGUUCAAUAGUGAAAGACGGUUUUGCUGUCACUUAUAGAUGGAUCCGCGCCGCAUUAGCUAGUUGGUAAGGUAACGGCUUACCAAGGCAACGAUGCGUAGCCGACCUGAGAGGGUGAUUGGCCACACUGGAACUGAGACACGGUCCAGACUCCUACGGGAGGCAGCAGUC